rnacentral:lncRNA from 1 species
GCAAUAACACAAAAAAUUGAAAUGAUACAAAAAUACGUUAAGAGGUCUCAUGACUACUCCUGUCCCCAUCUACCUCUACCCUUUACCUUUCAGCGGCACAGCAUUUAAGAACCUGCUGCCUGGCCACCUGUUCAUGUUCAGUGCUGUGAGAACCACGUUCCUGUCAUCAGCAAAUUUCUUUUUUCGGUUGUAAUAUCAUUUCAACCUCAUCUCGGAUGGUGGUGCUCAGAAAGAGCAGAGAGCUGGGCACCAACAUCCAGGAAACGGGCGGCGCAUCCCCACCCCAAGAUCAUGCAAGUUCUUCCUGUUGAUGAAAACAUCUCUAGGGAAGGACAACUUCUGGCUCUCAGCUUUAGGGCAUGAGGCUUUCAGUUUGCCCGUUUUAACAUGCGUGUGGUCAAAGCUCUGGGGCUCUCCCCUGGAUCACAAAUAGCCAUUGCGUCAAGCAAACUCCUAGGCGGCUGGUUAGCUUGGAGCAUCCUAAAUGAAGACAUGGGGUAUUUCCUGCAGAAGAUCCUUUCUACCCACCUGCAGUCAAUUCCAGCAGUGCUUUCAACUACACGAAGGAUGGUGAGAAAGAUAAAAUGGUGUUUCUCAGUCACCACAAAGGACAAGAGCGGGCUGCUGGUCAAAAUCGCCAGACAAUCCCACGUGAGAGCUGCUGUCAGGAUUUAAAUACCUUCCCUGGGUCCCAGUGCCCAUGCGGGAACCCUGAGAAAGGCUAUUUUCAACCUUUGAAAAGUGUUCUGCAUCAAGUCUCAAGGGACUUAAUUAAAAUAAUCAGUUUUCACAGCCAAGGCUUCUGACUCUAACCUCCCACACAAAAUGAGCAUCCCAUGUGCAAAAUGCUGUGCUCACACAUUCUCAGAGCAAGAGAGAGCUCUAACCGCAUACUCUCCUCCCGGUAGGGUUCCCACGGUCAGUGUCAGGCCCUUUCUGACUAGAUCGGCCCUUUCUGACUAGAUCGGGGGAAGUGAAAGCUAUUCGAUGGCCCUGCCUGAACCUUCCAGGCCUCACCCAGGGCUGUCAGGGUUUCCGUGUCCAGGGAGAAGGGAGAAGCAUGGUAGUCGGCAAAACCUUCUAGUGUCCUGGGGCUCACUUCUUGAGAUGCCACUCACAGGGGCAGCUUCGAUCUGCUCAGGGAUGGCCUAGCUCACCAGGGCUUUAAGUCUCUAACUCCCAAGCUCUAUUUAAAAAUCUUGGCCAGGGCGCCUGGGUAGCGCAGUCGUUAAAGCGUCUGCCUUCGGCUCAGGGCGUGAUCCCGGCGUUCCGGGAUCGAGUCCCACAUCAGGCUCCUCUGCUGGGAGCCUGCUUCUUCCUCUCCCACUCCCCCUGCUUGUGUUCCCUCUCUCUCUGGCUGUCUCUGUCAAAUAAAUAAAUAAAAUCUUAAAAAAAAAAAAAAUCU